CCUACGGGAGGCUGCAGUGGGGGAUAUUGCACAAUGGGGGGAACCCUGAUGCAGCGACGCCGCGUGGGUGAAGGAGUGCUUCGGCAUGUAAAGCCCUAUCGGCAGGGAAGAAGCAAGAAGGUACCUGACUAAGAAGCCCCGGCUAACUACGUGCCAGAAGCCGCGGUAAAACGGAGGGGGCGAGCGUGAUCCGGAUCCACUGGGUGUAAAGGGAGCGUAGACGGCCAUGGGAGACAGGGGUGAAAGCCCGGGGCCCAACCCCGGGACUGCCCUUGGAACUGCAUGGCUGGAGGGCGGGAGGGGCAGGCGGAAUUCCUGGUGUAGCGGUGAAAUGCGUAGAUAUCAGGAGGAACACCGGCGGCGAAGGCGGCCUGCUGGACCACGACUGACGUUGAGGCUCGAAAGCGUGGGGAGCGAACAGGAUUAGAUACCCCUGUAGUC
rnacentral:rRNA from 1 species